CGAACCAAAACAAUAAUUGUAUCAGCUUUCCAAUAAAUUAUUAUGUCACCCGUCAUUUUAACAGCUUGAGUAAUGUAUUUACUUUCAGAAAAUGCAUACAUAUAAUCACAUUUUGACUCAUUAUAUAAGUAGAUUUCUAUUUCCAUAUUUUCAACAUGUUAUCAUCAAACUAUAUGGGUUUAUCUGGUAUAACACAAACUACAGUAAUUACUAUGUCUACUUUGUUUUCUAAACGAUGAUAAAACUCUAAAAAUAAUUAGCAAAAAGAAAAACUGUAAAAAAAAAAUUGAGGUCAACAGAGAUGAUUUGAAUAAACUGUAAAAAAACUCAUGUUGGUAUGAUAUUGGAACAAAUCAUAACAUACCAUUUAACUACAAUAAUUUAGUAUAAAGCUUAAAAUCUACUAUUACCUAAUUGAUCAAAUAAUUUCUUAUAAUUUUCAGAUGAUUGAAUAUUUGAAUUUAAUUGAGAUCUUUAGAUAUGAUUUGGAUUUUAUUUAAACUAAGAUUACUGGAUCUUACCAAAUAUCUAACAACUUUGGUAAAACGUAACUCUAAUAAUAUACUUGCAUGAUCUCAUUAUUUUUCAAUAUACUGAAGCAUAAAAUAUAUGUGAAAUAUAGUCUCAUAUUCAUUAUAAAUGAAAUAGACCAAAAUAUCCACAUAUAAACUUCAAACUACCACAAAUUUUCUAUAAUUAUUUAGUGAAGAUUUGCCACGGUUUAGUAUAAAAUUUAAAGAAGUUAUUGUAUCAUCAAAAUCAAACAGGCCUGGACAUUGUACCCAGACCCAAAAAUCCGAACCGGAACCGAUUCAAAAAUAAUCGAUCUGAAACCAAACCGAAAAUAUAAAGUAUUUAUUGGAUCAGAAAUUCUUCUAUCCGAAAGAACCUGAACCCAAAAAAAAUGAACAGACUCGACCCGAUAAAAGCCAAUUAAUACCAGACUUAAAAACAUGAAUAUUCAAAACUAUGAUUUUUGUGUUCUAUUUUCUAUAUUUAUUUUAUGAUUUAGUUAAAAUAUCUUUAUACAAACAAUAUUUGUUAUUAUUUUCUAACAUUUUCAAGUAAUAUGAAGUUUAAAAUGUAAAAUCUAGAGUUUAAAAAUAUUUUAUUUUAAUUAUUAAUAGUUUAUUUUAAGUUAUUUUGUAAAAUUUUAAAUAUAUAUAACAAAUUUCGACUAAAUUUUAUAGGGUUUGGGUAUACCAUGUACUUUUAAGAUCCGAAAAUACAUGAAUUCAAUAUGGAUCCGAAAAUUAAGAGUAUUGUACAUGUAUUUUAAUUAUAGACCAGAACCAACCCAAACCAGAAAAAUAUUUACGAAUACCUAUUGGAUCCAAAUUUCUAGGAUCCGAAUUCCGAAGGACCCAGAUCCGAAAAAAUUGGACCAAAUCCAACCCAAAAACCCAAACGUCCAGACCUAAGUGUAUGAAUGAGCAUUCGGGUACCCAUUUGGGUACGAGUCAAUUCUUUAGGGUAUUAGAGUUUUGAGUUUUUGGGUAGGGUUCGAGUAGGUCCUCCCAAAUAUGAAUAUGUUCGGUUCUGAUGUAUAUGAACCUGAAAAUAAACAAAUAACCAAUGUAUUAGAGUUUGUAAUACCUUAACCGGCCUAAUUUUAAAAUAUAACUAAUAUAUAUUUACAUUCCGGAUAUCUUAGAAUACUCAUUCGGUUUUCGGUUUAGGUCGGGUAAAUUAUUUUUCUUUUUCUUUAAAUCUGAAUUAUUCGAGUCCUCGACAUUUGGAUCCAAUUAGGUAUUUGAAAUAUUUCCGGUUAUAGUUCAGUUUGGUUCCUUUUGGAAUCGAGUCAGUUCGAGUCCAUAAUGCAAAUAACUCUAAAAUACAUGUAAUUUGGAUAUGUAAUAGUCUAGCUCAGUUUGGAUAUUUAGGAGCAAAAAAAAAAAUUUAAGUAUCCGAAAAGACGAAAGACGAAAAAAUACCUAAAGUACUAAUUCAUAUCCAAGUUUAUUUAUAACCCAAACAAAACCCGCGCUUUUGAAGCGCGGUUCAAAAUCUAGUUAGUCAAUUAAAACAUCAUCUUUUUUGACAUCUCCUUUGUUACUAAGUAUUCACAGAAGUGCCACUGCCAUUUAAUUUUAAAAACAAAUAUUAUGGUAAUUAUUUAAAUUGAGAAAGCAGAUAUUUCCUAUUAAUACAGAAAGUUUUAUACACCAGUUGAUCUUACUUUCCUAUUAACAUGACACAUAAAAAUAAUUGAACAAAAUGUUAUAUGCAUAUUUAUUCAUUUAAUAUGUAACAUGUUGAUCAGAAAUUAUAUCCCAUAAACAUAGCAAUUUAAAAUAGUGUAAUCUAUCCUAUACUAAAAGGGAUAUAAGAGGAGUAGGGAGGCGGUCCACGUCCUCAAUUAAAUCAACCAAUGAGGUUGCUUAGUUUUUCCACGUCAAAACGACUUGGACCGGUCUUGGGCUGUAUUUUUUUUAACGGUGAAAAACGAAGAAACAUGUUGAUCAAAAGCCCUGGUCCGAUAAAGUCGGAUAAUGUCGUGAAUCUUUGACGUCUCUCUUCUCUACGCUCUUUGGAAACCCUAAAUGAAUCUCUUCGACAACUCCUCCCUUCGCCGUUUCCCCUUCCUCAACAGAUCGAUCAAUCGACACCGUAUUCAUUAGUGAGCAAUGAAUCCUUUGAGUUUCUCAUUAAUGGAUUCCUUUCGCCUUAUCAUCUCUACCUCUCUUUAUAAGUCUCUUCUUUACACAGAAUUGUUACAGAAAAAAAAAAAACACUCAAAUGAUGAAUUCCAGCAGAAAAUUCCAAAACGAUCUUACCGCGAAUAAACCUGCAGACGGAAAAGACGUUGUCUCCUCAGAAGUCUCCGGCGAUCCUAAGUCGAAGAAACCAAACGGCAAAUCCGUUGACUCCUCCGCCGAGCCGCUAUGUUCAAUGAUAAAAAAAGGAAGAGGUCGUCUCAACUGGAGAUCUUCCCACACUCAUCUCAGACUCCAACGAGCAGGUAACUCAUGAUUUCACUAUACUUUAUUACUCAGAUCAAAAUAGAAACAACUAAUGGUAGUCACCUCCGCUACUGACUGCUGAAAAAAGAUCAAAGCUUUAUUAUUUUUUUUUCUCUUUUCUUCUUUGUAUGACUGCGAAAGAUUUUUCAUUCUGUGUAUUAACUGAUAGUUCAACCGAUUGCUUUAUAACUACGAUGUUAUCUUAUAUUUUCUUCUCUUCGUUUUUGUUCUCUGUUUCUUUUUGUGUGAAUCUAAUUGAUAAAAAUGUUCCUCUUGGACAUGUAAAUUGGUUUCUGACUGGUGCUUGAAGCCUUGAAGAUAUACCUCUCUCUAUGAAAAAUUACUCUUAUAAAAGGAUGAGAGCAGUUUUCUACUUUCAGAAAAUGAUCAUACCGUCGGAAGCUCGAUGGAGAGCUGGAAGAUGCAGAGCAAAAGGUCCCGGAAAUUAGGAAGACAGAUAACAACGUGUGUGAGGUGUCUAUGAUUCAAGAACCGGCAACUAAUGGGGUAAAGAGAAUGAUGGAAACCAUGGAGAUUCUAAUGACGCUGGAAAGAAGCUAUGAGUUGAUAACAUCAAUGCCGACAGUGGUUUUCCUGAGGCAGAGUAUCCUGGUGACGAUAUUCCUGGAGCUGGAGCUGGAGCUGUUACAACAAAGCUCUCUCAAGGUGUGACCAGGGAAGCCCCAAAAACAAGCAUUGGGGAUGGUAGAAGGAACUACAACCGCCACAGCUGUCUUACCUCCUGAACCUGUUCCAAGUGGAUUCACUGCUGAGAGGUCACCGCUGCAGGAAGACACGUUGCUGCUGUUUUGUUCUCCUUUUUCUUUCCUUUCUCACUGUGAAAUAUUGAUUUAAAUGUUUACAAAUUGAACUCCCUCCAGAAUAAAAUUAGACUCAUGUACGUGAUCGAUGUACAGUCCCAGACUGUUGAAGCAUUAUUCAGCCAAGAAACAAGAAUAGCGUGUUAGUUUUA